AACGGCGAGCGAACGGGGAAAAGUCCAUCGCCAGAUCCGCCGCCUUCCUGGCGGAGCGGACAUGUGGCGUAUGGGAGAGACGCUUCCGGGUACCGACAGCCGGUGCAAGUCCCCCUGACUGGGGCUCCUACCCCCAGAGGGUGCAAGGCCCGUAGCGGCCGGAAGUCGGUUCCGGAUGUCCUCUCCUGGGAGUCGGGUUGCUUGGGAUUGCAGCCCUAAUCAGGUGGUAAACUCCAUCUAAGGCUAAAUACGACCUGGAGACCGAUAGCGAACAAGUACCGUGAGGGAAAGUUGAAAAGGACUUUGAAGAGAGAGUUCAAGAGUACGUGAAACCGUUCGGAGGUAAACGAGUGGGCCCUCGAAGUGCGAAGGCGGGGGGACUCAGCCGAGCGCUGCGGCUGGGCAGGGUUUGCGCGCUUCCCUACCAGGACGCGUAGCUUUGUCUUCUAGCAGCGGUGCGCGGCGCAUUUCUUCCCGUCCUCUGACGCUGCGACCGGUCGGGUGCGCCAAGAGCAGUCGGCCUUACUCGCAGGAGCCGGCAGGUAGCCGGUUGUUCAGCCCUCGGGCCGGGACAAUCGGUGUUUUAGCCGUCCUGCAAUCGAGAAGCCGUUCACCCGACCGCAGGACAAGGCCUCCAGGGGCCUCGCCGUGCCCUUCCUUCGUGGGAUCGGUUGGCGUUCCGGAAGGGAGGUCGUCGUUUCCCGCCGCUCCACCUUUGGUGUUCGGUGGUCGUCGACGCCCGUUGGCCGGAAGCGUUUCCGAGAGGGCGCAGGCGGUNNNNNNNNNNNNNNNNNNNNNNNNNNNNNNNNNNNNNNNNNNNNNNNNNNNNNNNNNNNNNNNNNNNNNNNNNNNNNNGGGACGUGAAUAGGCCCAAAGGCGAAAUGAAAGUGAAGGACUGCUUUUCGCAGCCUGCGUUGGGAUCCCUCGGCUUCGGCCGGGGGCGCACCAACGGCUCGUCCGAGCCGCCACGUCGGCCGGGCGAAGCUAGAGCGCGCACGUUGAGACCCGAAAGAUGGUGAACUAUGGCUGGGCAGGACGAAGCCAGAGGAAACUCUGGUGGAGGUCCGCAGCGGUUCUGACGUGCAAAUCGAUCGUCAGACCUGGCUAUAGGGGCGAAAGACUAAUCGAACCAUCUAGUAGCUGGUUCCCUCCGAAGUUUCCCUCAGGAUAGCUGGCUCUCGGAAGGAAGCAGUCUCAUCCGGUAAAGCGAAUGAUUAGAGGCCUUGGGGCCGAAAAGACCUCAACCUAUUCUCAAACUUUCAAUGGGUGAGAAGUCCGGUUUGCUCGAUUGAAGCCUGGACAUUCUUGGAUGCGAGUGCCAAGUGGGCCACUUUUGGUAAGCAGAACUGGCGCUGUGGGAUGAACCAAACGACGGGUUAAGGGGCCCGAUGCAGGACGCUCAUGAGAACCCAUGAAAGGUGUUGGUUGCUAUAGACAGCAGGACGGUGGCCAUGGAAGUCGGAAUCCGCUAAGGAGUGUGUAACAACUCACCUGCCGAAGCAACUAGCCCUGAAAAUGGAUGGCGCUUCAGCGUCGACCCCAUACCCGUCCGCCGCGGCGGAGAUGCGAUCGCAUUAUGCCGCGGUGAGUAGGAGGGCGCGGGGGCGUGCGUGGAAGGUGCCGGGCGUAAGCCCGCCUGGAGCCGCCCCCGGUGCAGAUCUUGGUGGUAGUAGCAAAUACUCAAGUGAGAACCUUGAGGACUGAGGUGGAGAAGGGUUCCAUGUGAACAGCAGUUGAACAUGGGUCAGUCGGUCCUAAGGGAUGUCCGAAAGGAUUUCCGAAGGGGGGCAUCUUUAGACGGUACCCCUCCGCGACCGAAAGGGAAUCGGGUUAAUAUUCCCGAACCCGGACACGGAGAUCGGCUCCUUCGGGAGCAUUUGCGGUAACGCAAACGACCUCGGAGACGUCGACGGGGGUCCCGGGAAGAGUUGUCUUUUCUUUGUAAGGGUUCGGCUCCCUGGAAUCGGCUCGCCCGGAGAUAGGGAUGCUGAACCCGUAAAGCACCGCGCCUCUUGUGGUGUCCGGAGCGCUCCCGUCGGCCCUUGAAAAUCCGAGCGAGAGGUGGUGAUUUUCGUGCCGGCCCGUACCCAUAUCCGCAGC
rnacentral:rRNA from 1 species